UCUCUCAACAAUGGAUAUAUCAGCUUUUACAUCGAUGAAGAAAGUAGCGAAAUACAAUAUUUGGUGUGAAUUGCAAAAUUUGAUGAACCAUCGAGUCUUUGAAGGCAAGUUAUGCCUUAAGCCAUUAGGUCGAGGACACACCUACCUUGGUGACAUGCAUCACACCCCCUCCAACCCUUCACCCAUUAGGCUCCGAGUGAUAGGGGUGGAAUAUGGCCUCCUGCAAUCUCAUCGGCCAUGGUUGGCCCAAAAGGAAAUCCCCAACAACGAUAGCACUGUGACCAUUAUGGUAAAGUUAUCGAUGUGCCUCCUCUCUAAUGAUCCAUGCUCAUUGUCCAUUGAACCCCAUCAGACCCCUACAAUGCUCAAUUGGUGCUCACAUCACAACCCCAGGUCAAGCGGGAUUACCCACUAAGUUUAAGCUUAUCAGUAAGUGGAGAAAAAAAAACUUACCAGAGUGAACCAAGAAGAGCCUAGCUUGAGAAUUAAGUGCCCUUAGUAUCUAAAUUAUAGUCUAGAGAAGUGUUUUCAAUGGCAAACCAGGCCCAAGUUCCCUGGAAAAAGGCAUCAAAGAGGGUGAGAUCCCCAUUGUGCCCCAUUGUGCCCCAUUGUGCCUAGACCCUAUCGUACAAUGAGGUGCUAUCUACGAGUCGAGUUAUUUAGGAAGGCAACCCCAAUAGGGCAGUAAAUUUUGUCUAGGGCUAAAUACGUGUAAGAGACUGAUAGUGAGCAAGUAUCGUGAGGGAAAGAUGAAAAAGACUUUAAAAAAAGAGUCAAAAAGUGCUUGAAAUUAUCAAGAAGGAAGCAAAUCGGGGUCAACAAUGUGCCCUAGUCAAAUGUAGAACGGUGAGAGUUGGUUUACCGAUCAACUCAAGGCAUGGACCAACAUAGGUCAUGGUAACAACUAAAGCCCAAGUUUUUCAUAUGCCCAUGGAGAUAUCAACACUGUGAUCAUUGAAUACAACACAUGCUGUCUCGACACUCCCUGGCACUAGCAUGCUCCCAACAUUGGCUUGUGGGCUCCCCAUUUGGCCCAUCGUGAAACAUGGACAAAAGAGUCUAACAUGUGUGCAAGUCAAUGGGCUAGAAAAGCUAUAAGGUGCAAGGAAGAUGAUUGGCAAGAUCUCUUACAGGUGCACCACUAAUCGAACUUGACCUUUUGAGAGGAGAUUGAGUGUGAGCAUGCUUGUUAGGACCUGAAAGAUGAUGAACUAUGCCUGAGUAUGGUGAAGCUAGAGGAAACUUUGGUAGAGGCCCACAGUGAUACUAACGUGCAAAUUAUUUCUUUGACUUAGGUAUAUGGGUGAAAGACUAAUCAAACCAUCUAGUAGCUGGUUCCCUUUGAUGUUUUCCUUAGGAUAACUAGAGCCAUGGCGAGCUCUAUUGGGUAAAGCCAAUGAUUAAAGGCAUCAGGGGUGCAACACCCUUAACCUAUUCUCAAACUUUAAAUAGGAUGAAUUGGAAGCUAGGUUACAGUGCCCAAUUGCUUGCUAACCGAGAACCCACAAAGGGUGUUAGUCGAUUAAGAUAGCACGAUAGCGAUCAUGGAAGUUGAGAUUCAGUAAGUAGUGUGUAACAACUCACCUACCAAAUUAACUAGCCUCAGAAAUGGAUGGCACUUAAGUGCGUGACCUAUACCUUACCGUCAGUGCAAGGGCCAAGCCUUGAUAACUAAGAGGAUGUAGCGGUUAUCGUAAAACCUAUAAUGCAAGCUUGAGAAGAGCGAUCGUUGAUACAGAUCUUAGCGAUAGUAGCAAAUAUUCAAAUGAGAACUUUGAUGGCCAAAAAAGGGAAAGGUUUCAUGUGAAUGACACUUGCACAUGGGUUAGUCAAUCCUAAAAGAUGGGGAAAACCCAUCUAACAAUGCAUUCGGCAUUAGCUUUAAAAGGGAAUCGGGUUAAACUUCUUGAACUAGGAUUCAACGAUUGAUUACAAUGUUAAGGAGUCCAAAGACAUCAAUGGGUGCCAUAAGAAUAGUUGUCUUUUCUAUUUAAUGACCUGUCCACCCUAGAAAUGGCUCAGUUGGAGAUAGGGUCUAGCUGUUAGAAGAACACCACACAUUGCAUGGUGUCUAAUAUGCCCCUAGCAGCCCUUGAAAAUCUAAAUGAUCGAGUGCCAUCUAUACCUAAUUGUACUCAAAAUUGCAUCAGGUCUUUAAGAUGAACAACCUCUAGUUAAUGGAACAAUGUAGUCAAAAGAAGUUAGCAAAAUGGAUUAGUAACCUUGGGAAAAUGAUUGGCUCUAAAAGUUAAGCAUAGGAGUCCUAAACCUAAACACGUUGGCUAUCGGUGCACUGGUCGAGCUACUCCCAUGAUAAGGGCAGGUUGUCGCAUGCCAAUUAGGGGAUGGAUUAGGAAUGGCUCCCUCGAAGGCAUUCCUCGAGCAAUGAACAAUUGACUUAGAACUGGUAUAGACAAGAGAAAUCUAACUAUUUAAUUAAACAAAGCAUUGCUAUGGUCCCUGUGGAUGCUCACGUAAUGUGAUUUUUACCCAACACUUUGAAUGUUAAAGUGAAGAAAUUCAACCAAGCGUGGGUAAAUGGCGAGAGUAACUAUGACCCUCUUAAGGUAGCCAAAUGCCUUGUCAUCUAAUUAGUGAUGCACAUGAAUGGAUUAAUGAGAUUGCCACUAUCUUUAUCUACUAUCUAGCAAGAACAUAGCCAAAGGGAUGAGCUUGGCAGAAUUAACAAGAAAAGAAGAUCCUAUUGAGCUUGACUCCAGUUUGACUUUGUGAAAUGACUUAAGAGGUGUAUGAUAAGUGAGAGCCCUCUAGCAAAAUUGAAAUACCACUAGUUUUGACAUUAUUUUACGUAUUGUACAAAUCAGAGGUAGGGCAUAACACCUUCUAUUAUACAUAAGGCCAGCCUUGGCUGGUCAAUCUAGGUGAAAGAUAUUAUCAAGUGAGAAGUUUGGCUAAGGUGGCACAACUGUUAAAAGAUAACACAAGUGUUCUAAGAUGAGCUCAAUGAGAAUAGAAAUCUCAUGUAGAACAAAAGGGUAAAAGCUCGUUUGAUUCUGAUUUUUAAUAUGAAUAUGAACCAUGAAAGCAUGGCUUAUUGAUCUUUUAUACCUUUGAAAUUUAAAGCUAAAGGUGUCAGAAAACUUGCCACAAGGAUAAUUGGCUUGUGGCAGCCAAACGUCCAUAACGAUGUUACUUUUUUAUCCUUCGAUGUUAGCUCUUCUAUCAAUAUGGAGCAGAAUUCAUCAAGUGUUGGAUUGUUCACCUACCAAUAGGGAAUGUGAGCUAGGUUUAGACCAUCGUGACAUAGGUUAGUUUUUUCCUACUGAUGGCAACGUCAUAAUAGUAUUUUAACCAAUACAAGAAGAAUCAUUGAUUCACACAAUUGGUCAUCACACUUGGUUAAAAAGCUAGUGGUGCAAAGCUAUUGUAUGCUAGAUUAUGACUAAAUGCCACUAAGUUAGAAUCUAGGCUAGAAUCGAUGCACAUGCCCAUUACUUGAUUGU
rnacentral:rRNA from 1 species